ensembl:lncRNA
UUUUGUGCUGUUGGCCAAAUGACUAUCAUAUGUUUUGAUCUAGUGAAAAUAGUUUUGGAUAUGAGGCAUCUGCAAUAAUUACAUUAUCAGUACAUUAAUUUGACCAUUAUCUGAGCAGACCCCCUCUGCUAACUUAGACACAGGUAGCUAACAUUGCCAUACAAAUUUCACUGGAUCGAACUAUGCUAAUAUUCUAACUCAGGAGAGCACUGAAACAACACUGAUCAUAAUACAAUACCAACAAUUAUUUUUGAUCAUAAGACUUCAUUCAAAUCUAUAAUUUACACCUACGAUACAUAUUACGCGAGGUACAAAAAUACAUGGUUAUAGUGUCAACACAUGCUAAGCAAGAGUACAGGUUUUAACUAAAGUCUUCAGAUAAAUAAUUGAAUUAAGUAUAUUCUAAUAUAUGAAACACAAGAAUGUUGAUAUACCCCUGACAUAAGAUGUCUUUGAUUGUUUUUGUAUAUCUGCUAUGUUUGUUCUGCCAUUUCAAAUAAAUCAUUCCUAUUGUGUAAGAAGAAUAAACUGUACUAUAGUAAAUUGUUCUUUCUCCGUUAUGCUCUGAAAAACCAUUUGUUCUUGAAUUGGCGUUACGUAGUUCAACUAUUUCAAUCAAGUCCAUUAUCUUCUUUUCUUGAAAGAUGCCUUUUUUUGUAACCUGCAUCCCCAGUGGGCCAUGCCAUGUUUUGUUUUUAGAAAGUAAGUGAACUUUAAAUCCAACUCUUUGCUAGCCUUUUAGUCUUUGAGAAAACAAUUUGAGGAUUCAUCCUCAGGCAAGAACGCCACUAUAUGUUGGAAGAACUAUUUAUGUAAAAACUAUGGAGUCAGGUCCAAGACUUUCUCAGAAAAGUUAUUUAUUAGUUCACAUUUGAGUUUUACCCCAUAGAAUGUCACCUAACUUGUGUAGCUUGCUCUUCUUAAGCAAAAAAUGCGUCCGUUCUUUAAGCUACAUACUUUUCUCAAUAAUGUUAACUUGAAAGCCAAAAAAAAAAAAAAGAAAAAGGACAAAAAAUUUUUCACUGGUUUUAAAACAAUCACACAACAGCAAAAAUUAAUUUGUGUGUUGGCAUAUAAGCAAUGCUGUUCAUGUACAUAUUAUUUGCAAAUCUGUUCAACAUUAAUCCUUUUCUAAGUAUGAAAGUUCUUUUAAGAAAGAAGCAUUAAAUGCACAUAUGAAAAUUAAGAAAAUAAUGUGUCAAAUAUCCCCCACGUAAGAACUGGUAAGUACACCCAGUUGUCCUAUCCUAAUGAAGAUUAAUUUAAACUACGGACCAAAACUUGGUAAUUAGGAGAAGUUAUGUGUACACAGUUGUUUUAUGUUUAUAUCUCAGAUAUGGCCAUGUGUUUUGUUAAAAUUAUUAAACUUUGUUCCAUUUGAGUUAAGUGGAAUAAAAUAAUGUACUUAAAUACACACAUCAUUAAAAAUCUGAACGCUUGCUUGGUGAAUACCUGUUUAGCAUAAGACCCAUAAAAGAGACUUGAAAAUAAAUACAAACGCUAUACCAGCCCACACAGUUUUAAUCCAACUCUCCUCUAACCCAGAGCACGUGAAAUGAGCAUUGCUUUCCAAAUCAUUUGUGUAGAUUCUUUCCUUACAUAAUAAAUAAAUAGUAAAAAUGAUCUAAUAGAUUUCAAAAAUUUGAGUGGCACAUAAAAAUCACCAAGUCAUAACAAAUAUCGACAUUGUAGCCUUUUUACCCCAAUGAUUGCAAAAUGCUCACCAUUUCUACAUCCUAUUCACGUCAUUGAAAUUCAGCCACCUCUAAAAUGUUCAACCAGCAUAUUAAUAAGGCUUCCCAGAACGAGAAAACUCUGCCUGCCUACAUAUAUCUUGAUAAAUUUGGCCAUACUGCCCAUAACACAUCUUCAAGAGAAAGAUAGUUACAAAUAAAACAGUCCUUUCCUGUGGGUGUUGGUUAACCCCACACACAUGUGAACUUCCUAUGGGCAUACACCCAACAGACACUGGCGAUUAGGUGAUUGAAAAUGUGGCCCACAAAGGCGAAAUUUUAUAUGUGAUGACAUCACCAGCAAACCUGGGUUUCUCCGUGAUAGAACGAGAUACGUGCCUGGCUGAGUGUCUCUUGAACGAGUGAGAGAGAGAGAGAGAGAGAUGCUUAAAGAACAGCAUCAUCAGACACGAUAGAACCUUCUGCAAGCUUUGCAAGAAUCGUUCACAGACCUUUGACAUUUUCCAGAUUUCAUACAGCUUCAGUUCAUCCAAAAAUGCAUUUCCCGCACAAGCAAAUCCUGUUUUGUUGCGUUAGCACGCUGUUCAUCCUAACAUAUCCCGGUGGGUCGGUGGAGAUGUGAUUUCUGUACCCAAUGAGGCGCAUGCAGCUGUACACUAUGCGGAGGGAGUUGCAGCCCACCUCCCCCCCGCCACAACCUCCGGGGACUUGCAUUUGAACGGAGAAGACGUCUCCGUUUUCGAGGCAACGAAAGGGUUAAAAAUUGAGGCUGUCUGGGGUAAGAGAAAGGGGAUAUUGUUGUCUUUAAUCUUUCCGCAGUAUGUGUAAGACUUCCAUCCCGGAUCUGCACAGAGCAGGGGGAUAGGCCAGGCAGGGAUUGCGUGCAGGCUCCUUGAUUGUAGAGGGGGACCUGGCUGGAGUCCAGACAGGCUGGGGCUCUGUUGAUCAUUAUGUCUGGCCUUCAGGUGUCUGGGCACACAGUGGGCCGUGGUGGGGGAGGUGUGGAUAACAGGAGAGCAGACAAAGAAAAAAAAAAUGGUGUAUUUAAAAAAGAUUAUGCGAAGAUGUGUGUCCAAGCCCUCUUUAAAAAAAAAAAAAAAAAAAAAAAAAAAGCCUCCCCAACGUCUUGGACUUUUAUAAUUAGAACGCAAGCUCUGCUCUGGCAGAUCUCUUUAAGCCAUAAUUAGUUAUGUCUGGAGCCUUUGAAUAAUUCCUUUCCAUAAUUGAUGGAGUUAAUAUUCUCUUUCAAAAAAAUGAGGAGGACGAUGUUUUCUUCCAAACUCCCCUUUGGCUGGAGGUAUUGCCCGUCAAAAUCUGCAUCAGUGAAAAAUCACAUCGGUUGGAUUUACUGUUUAAUUUCUAGGCGACUUAGCUGAUAACUUUUUAAGGAUUUGGAUGAUUCUAGAAGUGAGGGCAUUAAGGCAUUGCUGGUUUACCCUCGCUGCAUGUAGAAAGAAAGCAAUAGCACCGGAUCAUUCUCCCCCAUUUGUUUCCAAUUAUUUUAUUAAUUAAAAAAACUGCUUUGUAUGUUGCUUCUGUUGGAAACUCCAUCAAAAAAAAAAAAAAAAUCUUACCGUGAAUGUGACUUCAAUGCUAAGGAUACCCUUGUGUGCCAGUCCAAAGAAAUCCCCAAUUACUUUAUUCUUUAAGCAUUCUUCUAUAAAGAAGCUUCGGCAUGCUUCCUCCCUACCCCCACAUCCUCACUCCACCCUAUUAGGAAUUUCAAAAAAAAAAAAAAUCUUUAUACAUGGAAGGCUGGAUCCUGGGACAGAAAGCUGUCCUUUGCUUCUGUCUUUACACUGGCCCCUUUCAGUAGCCUCUCCCUUCUGCCGGGACGUGCUUUCAUAUUUUGUGGACUAAAACCCUAAAGACCAGUUCGGUCUCUAUUAUGAUUAGAACAUGAAAAGUGGUGGUUGAAAAAAUAAAUAAAAAGAAAGCCCUGGCUUGAAGCCAUUGUUCAGAAUUUAAGAGCUCCUUGCCCCAAGUGUCUUAGCCGUCUUUCAUAGCUAAUUAUAAUAACUGUCAGAUGUCUGGAGAGUGGCUGGUGUCCUUGUCAGUGGAGUCAGCAAAGUUUGCCUUUUAUUUUUCUUGGGAACGGAUCGAAUCUGAUUAGACCUCAAGAGCGAAAAGAAGUGAAGUAAGUACAUAUGUGUGUGCCUUCAUUUUUUUCUUCCGAACAAAGCAGCGUGCCGGAGCACUGUUCCAAGGUGCAGCCUCCUGCAGCUCCUCUUGGAAUGCCUGACUUUUAUUUUUCAUUCUUUAUCUUUAACCAAAUCAAGCAUGCAACAAUUGUUUUGGAAACCUUUUCCUGCCAGCUGAACACCCUUCUGUACACACAUAAAAGAGGAGCACCAAAAAAACCACAUCUUCACAUAUUGGAUGCUUAUGACAUAAAACUAUUGGAACCAGUACCCUGGAUGGAAAGAAAUGUAUACUUACAAUUUCAAAACGCUUAUUUGUGCUCGUUCCUGGUCCCUGGAGGCACAGCAGUGGCUCUGGCUGGACGGUCUCUGAUGCAGGUGCAGAAUCCCUGAUUCCAGGAAGGAGGGAGAGAGCAAAGUGUUUUCCCAAAGUCCCUCGGAACUCAGGCACUUGUGCCCAGGCAUUCCUUGCUCCUGUGAAAGCCGUACUAUCUGCAGUUCU